rnacentral:rRNA from 1 species
GACGUAGGGUGGCGAACGUUAUCCGGAUUUAUUGGGCGUAAAGGAUGCGUAGACGGUAAAACAAGUUACUACUUGACGUCGAGCUCAACUUGACUGAAAUUAGUAAUACUAUUUGCUAGAGAUUGGGAGAAGUUGAUGGAAAUCUAUGUGGAGGGGUGAAAUCCGUUGAUCUAUAGAGUGACCACCAAAAGGCGAAGGCAAUUGACU